CAAUAGCGUAUAUUAAAGUUGUUGCAGUUAAAAAGCUCGUAGUUGGAUUUGUGGCGUACGGUGUGUUCCGGGCACUUGUUGUCUGAGUAACCUGCUGUUGCCAUCCUUGGGUGGAACCUGUGUGGCAUUAGGUUGUCGUGCAGGGGAUGCCCAUCAUUUACUGUGAAAAAAUUAGAGUGUUCAAAGCAGGCUUAUGCCGUUGAAUAUAUUAGCAUGGAAUAAUGAGAUAGGACUUUUUUGCUAUUUUGUUGGUUUGCGCAAAGAGGUAAUGAUUAAUAGGGACAGUUGGGGGUAUUCGUAUUCCAUUGUCAGAGGUGAAAUUCUUGGAUUUGUGGAAGACGAACUACUGCGAAAGCAUUUACCAAGGAUGUUUUCAUUAA
rnacentral:rRNA from 1 species